AAUAGAUACCCCGGUAGUCCACGCCGUAAACGUUGGAUACUAGGUGUGGCGGUUAUACCAAUGACUGCCGUGCCGAAGCUAACGCAUUAAGUAUCCCGCCUGGGGAGUACGGCCGCAAGGCUAAAACUCAAAGGAAUUGACGGGUCCCCGCACAAGCGGCGGAGCAUGCGGCUUAAUUCGAUGCAACCCGAAGAACCUUACCUGGGUUUGACAUCACGGGAAAAGCUGUAGAAAUACAGUGUCCAUUAGGGCCCGUGACAGGUGGUGCAUGGCUGUCGUCAGCUCGUGUCGUGAGAUGUUGGGUUAAGUCCCGCAACGAGCGCAACCCUUGUCCCUAUGUUGCCAGCGGUUCGGCCGGGGACUCAUAGGAGACUGCCGGGGAUAACUCGGAGGAAGGUGAGGACGACGUCAAGUCAUCAUGCCACUUAUAUCCAGGGCUGCACGCAUGCUACAAUGGCCGGUACAACGGGCAGCGACCCCGCGAGGGUGAGCGAAUCCUAAAAAGCCGGUCCUAGUUCGGAUUGAAGUCUGCAACUCGACUU
rnacentral:rRNA from 1 species